GUGAUGGCUCAAUAGGUAAAGUGCUUGCUUUGCAAGCAUGAGGACCUGAGUUCGAUACCUAGAACUCACA
rnacentral:tRNA from 1 species